AUUGAACGCUGGCGGCAGGCCUAACACAUGCAAGUCGAGCGGAUGAAGGGAGCUUGCUCCUGGAUUCAGCGGCGGACGGGUGAGUAAUGCCUAGGAAUCUUCCUGGUAGUGGGGGAUAACGUCCGGAAACGGGCGCUAAUACCGCAUACGUCCUGAGGGAGAAAGUGGGGGAUCUUCGGACCUCACGCUAUCAGAUGAGCCUAGGUCGGAUUAGCUAGUUGGUGGGGUAAAGGCCUACCAAGGCGACGAUCCGUAACUGGUCUGAGAGGAUGAUCAGUCACACUGGAACUGAGACACGGUCCAGACUCCUACGGGAGGCAGCAGUGGGGAAUAUUGGACAAAGGGCGAAAGCCUGAUCCAGCCAUGCCGCGUGUGUGAAGAAGGUCUUCGGAUUGUAAAGCACUUUAAGUUGGGAGGAAGGGCAGUAAGUUAAUACCUUGCUGUUUUGACGUUACCAACAGAAUAAGCACCGGCUAACUUCGUG
rnacentral:rRNA from 1 species